GACGAACGCUGGCGGCGUGCUUAACACAUGCAAGUCGUACGGUAAGGCCCUUUCGGGGGUACACGAGUGGCGAACGGGUGAGUAACACGUGAGUAACCUGCCCACAACUUUGGGAUAACGCUAGGAAACUGGUGCUAAUACUGGAUAUGUGCUCCUGCUGCAUGGUGGGGGUUGGAAAGCUCCGGCGGUUGUGGAUGGACUCGCGGCCUAUCAGCUUGUUGGUGGGGUAGUGGCCUACCAAGGCGGCGACGGGUAGCCGGCCUGGGAGGGUGACCGGCCACAUUGGGACUGAGAUACGGCCCAGACUCCUACGGGAGGCAGCAGUGGGGAAUAUUGCACAAUGGGCGCAAGCCGGAUGCAGCAACGCCGCGUGCGGGAUGACGGCCUUCGGGUUGUAAACCGCUUUCAGCAGGGACGAAGCUUUUUGUGACGGUACCUGCAGAAGAAGCACCGGCUAACUACGUG
rnacentral:rRNA from 1 species